rnacentral:lncRNA from 1 species
UAGCAUUUCCUGGUUGUUUUGCUAUAGCUGAAGAUAAUUGUCUGCAUGUGAUGGCAAGAGGAAAAACCUCAAGUAUAAUUUUUAUUCUCCCUACUGUUUUCACAGAAUCACAGAAUUAUAGGGGUUAGAAGGGACCUCAAAAGAUCAUUGUGUCCAACCCCCCUGCCAAAGCAGGUACCCUAGAGCAGGUUGCCCAGAGAUAAUGAGAAGAAGUCUUCUGAGAGAAGUCUCCUGCUUAACUCAAGCUAUGGAACAUUGAGCUACUGCUGUAAAAAUCAAAGAACCGAAGAAAUCAAAACAGUCAGGUUGUCCACAUGCUACCACCAUAACACUGAGACACAACCAGUACAGGUCAGCUGGGAUCAACCUGAAAUUACUGCCAAUAUAGGAUGCUCCUAUAGCCAAUGCCUCCUGCUUCCUAUACCAGAUUGGUCAGGUUCAAUACACAGCCCAAGAUGAAUUUGAAAACACAGACUUUUGAUGACUACCUUAAACCAGCAAAAGUGUGUCUGUUUACAGGACAGAAUAUGAGAAUGAUCCAGCACCAGACAGUGUGGAUUGAAGAGGAUACCUGA